UACGGAGGGAGCUAGCGUUGUUCGGAAUUACUGGGCGUAAAGCGUGCGCAGGCGGUUUUGUAAGCCAGAUGUGAAAUCCCCGGGCUCAACCUGGGAAUGGCAUUUGGGACUGCAAGGCUGGAGUGCGGCAGAGGAGACUGGAAUUCCUGGUGUAGCAGUGAAAUGCGUAGAUAUCAGGAGGAAUACCGAUGGCGAAGGCAGGUCUCUGGGCUGACACUGACGCUCAUGCACGAAAGCGUGGGGAGCAACAGGAUUAGAA
rnacentral:rRNA from 1 species